GCUAGGGUGUGGUAACCCACGCCUGUAAUACUAGCUGGCCAGGAGGCUAAUCUCUUGAGUUUGGGAAUUCUGUGAUCCAAUGUUCAGCAUCAAUAUGAUGAGCUCCUAGGAGCAGGGCCACCAGGUUGCCUAAGGAGGGAUGAACCAGCCCAGGUCAGAGAAAGAGCAGGUCAAAAUUCCUGUGCUGAUCAGUAGUGGGGAAGGAAGGAUGGAAGGAAGGAAGGAA
rnacentral:SRP_RNA from 1 species